AUCUCUUCUUGGCCUUUUGGCUAAGAUCAAGUGUAGUACAAAUGAGGAAAUUAAAUUAGUAAUGAAAAACCUCCU
ensembl:snRNA U2 U2 spliceosomal RNA